GGAAGGAACAAACAAAAUGAAGCAUCUGUCACCCCAUUGAUAGCCAGGGUUGAUUCAGCUGAUCUGGCUGGCUAGGAGGGUAUUGCCUUCCCUCCUCCCUGCUUCCUGUGAGACCUUCCUGAAUUUGCAUAGUCGGUGGAAGUACCAUUCUUUGGUCAAGGUAUACAAUAGCUGCUCUCUCCCGCUAAAACCUCCAGACAAGCUUGAAGAGCUGCAAGGAAAACUGAACUUUUUUUUUUUUUUUUAAUGGGCAGGUGUGAGAUCCUACAAUCU
rnacentral:snRNA from 1 species